rnacentral:rRNA from 1 species
CCUACGGGAGGCAGCAGUGAGGAAUAUUGGUCAAUGGGCGCAAGCCUGAACCAGCGAAGUAGCGUGAAGGAUGACUGCCCUCCGGGUUGUAAACUUCUUUUAUAAGGGAAUAAAUGGAGGCACGUGAGCCUUUUUGUAUGUAUUUUAUCAAUAAAGAUCGGCUAACACUGCGCCCGCAGCAGCGGUAAUACGGAGGAUCCGAGCGUUAUCCGGAUUUAUUGGGUGUAAAGGGAGCGUAGAUGGGUGGUUAAGUCAGUUGUGAAAGUUUGCGGCUCAACCGUAAAAUUGCAAUUGAUACUGGAAGCCUUGAGUACAGUUGAGGUAGGCGGAAUUCGUGGUGUAGCGGUGAAAUGCUUAGAUAUCACGAAGAACUCCGAUGGCGAAGGCAGCCUACUAGACUGCAACUGACGUUGAGGCUCGAAAGUGUGGGUAUCAAACAGGAUUAGAUACCCUAGUAGUC